CUCCGUAAGUUCGCGAGAAGGAGGCCCGGGUUUCAGGCAACUGAAGUCCGGGGGCACAAACCAGGGGGUGGCGACUGUUUACUAAAAACACAGGGCUCUGCGAAGUCGCAAGACGACGUAUAGGGUCUGACGCCUGCCCGGUGCCUGAAGGUUAAAAGGAGGGGUGAGAGCUCCGAAUUGAAGCCCAGGUAAACGGCGGCCGUAACUAUAACGGUCCUAAGGUAGCGAAAUUCCUUGUCGGGU
rnacentral:rRNA from 1 species